AAAACAUGUCUUUUUGAUAAUAAUUUAAAGUCUAAUCUGCCCNCUGAUAAUAUAUUAAAGGGCUGCAGUAUAUUGACUGUACAAAGGUAGCAUAAUCAUUAGUCUUUUAAUUGAAGACUUGUAUGAAAGAUUUGAUGAAAUAUAAACUGUCUCUAAUUUAUGUUUAGAAAUUAAUUUUUUAGUUAAAAAGCUAAAAUGACAUUAAAAGACGAGAAGACCCUAUAGAGUUUUAUAUUUUAUUUAAUUAAUAUUAAAUAUAUAAUUAAAUAUAUUAAUUAAAUAAAUUAUUGUGUUGGGGUGAUAGAAAAAUUUAAUAAACUUUUUUUAAAUUUAAACAUAAAUAAGUGGUUGAUUGAUCCAUUAAUAAUGAUUAAAAGAAAAAAUUACCUUAGGGAUAACAGCGUAAUAUUUUUUUUUAGUACUUAUAAAAAAAAAAGUUUGCGACCUCGAUGUUGGAUUAAGAUAAAAUUUAAAUGCAAAAGUUUAAAGUUUUGAUCUGUUCGAUCAUUAAAAUCUUACAUGAUCUGAGC
rnacentral:rRNA from 1 species